ACUGCAAGCCGCCUAAAUGCAGGGCUUUUGAUGAUAUUCCCCGCCAACAAGGCAUGAAGGUGGGGCUUGCCUCCAUCUGGCUCUCCUGCCACUUUCAACAACACACCCCACAUCCGAUCCUGCUUAGAGUCGAAGAUGAAUCUGGCAUAAUACAAACAGCACUGGACUGGAAGCAUGAAGUUUCUCUUAUCUGUGCCUUGGUUUCCUCAUGUGGAAAAUGAAAAUGUUGACAUAAAUAAUCACACAGGUCUCUGUUAGUACCAUUUUGUGAUUUUAUAUCGUGCUUACCACACCUAGAAACAGGGGCCAUCAUUCCAGCCAGCUAACAGAGAAAAAGACGAUACAUAAUCAGGCUUGGGAAAAUAAAUUUCAGAGACCAAGUAAACAAAGACAACAAUCUAGUAUAAGGGUUAUAACUGGGGGAUGAGGGGUUGCAAAUGGAGAUCUGCCACAGUCAACUCUAUUUGGAUUCCCCUGUUCUCAACAGGCAACAGCAAUCAUAAUGGGCUUGGAGCACCAGUCCCACAACAUCACAGGACAUCCAGACAUAAUUGCAUUAAUAAUGUUGUGCAUAAUCGCACAACUCUCUGGUUAUUCAGCAUCGUCCAAUAUGUGAAUAAAGCUCUGAGGAAAAAUUAA
rnacentral:lncRNA from 10 species